GCGACCCCAGUGCAGAUGAACACCCCAUGU
rnacentral:rRNA from 1 species